GGGGGAUAAAUUAAUAAAGUAUAAAUAAUAAAAAAAUUUUUAAUAUUAAAAUAUUUUAAUGGGGGUUAAAGUAUAUUUAAUAGAAAAAAUAAAAAAAUUUAUAGAAAAUUAGUAUUGUAAAAGAAAUUUGAAAUAAAUUGAAAAUAAAUUUAUUUAAAAGUAAAUUUAAUUUAUUGUAUCUUGUGUAUCAGAGUUUAUUAAUAAUAAUUUUUUUUUAAAAAUUUUCUCGAAUUUAAAAGAGAUAAUUAAUUAUUAAAGUUAAUGUUGUAUAAUUAUUUUAAAUAAUUAAUUGGAAAUAAGAUGUUAAUCGUUUUUAAAUAUAUCUAGUUUUUUUAGAAAAAAAUUUAAUUUUAAAUUUUAAAAAGAAUAUAAUUUUAAUUAAUUAAAAUUAUAUUUUUAAAAUUAAAUAUUUUAAGGGAUAAGCUUUAAAAUAAAUUUUUAUAAUAAAUUUUAAUAAUAAUUAAAAUUUUUAAAAUUUAUAUNGUUUAUAAAUUAAAAUUUUUUAUAAAUAAUUUUAAUUAAAUUAAAAUUUCAAAAUUUAUUUAAUUUUUUAUUAAAAAAUAUUUUUUAACAAUUUAAAUUUAGAUAUAAUGAUAAAAUUAGUAUAUAAAUAAAUAAAUGUAAUUUAUUAUUUGAUAAUUUAAUAAAAGGAAUUCGGCAAAAAUUUAUAUUCACUUGUUUAUCAAAAACAUGUCUUUUUGAUUAAUAAUUUAAAGUCUAAUCUGCCCACUGAUAAUAUAUUAAAGGGCUGCAGUAUUUUGACUGUACAAAGGUAGCAUAAUCAUUAGUCUCUUAAUUGGUGACUUGUAUGAAGGAUUUGAUGAAAUAUAUACUGUCUCUUUUUAAUUUAUAAAAUUUAAUUUUUUAGUUAAAAAGCUAAAAUUUAUUUAAAAGACGAGAAGACCCUAUAGAGUUUUAUAUUUAUAUAAAUUAAAAUUUUUUAUAAGAUUUAAAAUUUCAAUUUAUAUAAAUAUUUUGUUGGGGUGAUAAAAAAAUUAAAAUAACUUUUUUUAUAAUUUUACAUUAAUAAAUGAAUAAAUGAUCCGUAAUUUACGAUUAUAAGAUAAAAUUACCUUAGGGAUAACAGCGUAAUUUUUUUUUUUAGUUCAAAUAAGAAAAAAAGUUUGCGACCUCGAUGUUGGAUUAAGAUAAAAUUUAAAUGCAAAAGUUUAAAAUUUUUGAUCUGUUCGAUCAUUAAAAUCUUACAUGAUCUGAGUUCAAACCGGUGUAAGCCAGGUUGGUUUCUAUCUUUAGAUUAAUAAAAUAUUUUAGUACGAAAGGAUCAAAUAUUUAAAAUAGUUUUAUUUAGAAGAAUUUUAAUAAUAGUAGAUAUUUUUAAAUAUG
rnacentral:rRNA from 1 species